AUGCACGGCGGAAUGGGUUUGCAAGAUAUAGUAUGUCUGCCCCAUAUUUCAAAAUAUAUGAUGUGAAUCCUAGAAAUAAUCAGCCAGUUCCACAUUUGAAUUAUGAGUGUUUCGGAGGCGGAGUUGAUUGCCAACGUUGUGGAUUAAAAGUGUAUCAAGCAGAAAUGCAUAUUGCAUCCGGCGUCCCAUAUCAUAAUAUUUGUUUCAGCUGUUAUUGUUGCCGAAAAUCUCUCGAAACGUUAACUUAUCAUGAAAGUUGUGGUGAAAUAUAUUGCAAACAAUGCUACAUACGCAAUUUUGGACCGCAAGGGUACGGCUACUCCGGUGUACUUCAAACACCAAUGUGAAGUUUGUUUCCGCUACUGAAAUAUUUUAUACGGUAUGACUCAAUCACAGAAUUUUGUGGUGCCUCUGCUGAAAUAAGACGGAAUUUUUGGAAUAGUUGGAGGACACUGCAUAGAAUUUUCAACUAUAUCCGAAAUACAAUCAAAAUUUUCAAUAAAUUACGAAAAAUAUAUUUGUUUAA